rnacentral:rRNA from 1 species
GAUGAACGCUGGCGGCGUGCCUAAUACAUGCAAGUCGAGCGAACAGAUGAGGAGCUUGCUCCUCUGACGUUAGCGGCGGACGGGUGAGUAACACGUGGAUAACCUACCUAUAAGACUGGGAUAACUUCGGGAAACCGGAGCUAAUACCGGAUAAUAUAUUGAACCGCAUGGUUCAAUAGUGAAAGACGGUUUUGCUGUCACUUAUAGAUGGAUCCGCGCCGCAUUAGCUAGUUGGUAAGGUAACGGCUUACCAAGGCAACGAUGCGUAGCCGACCUGAGAGGGUGAUCGGCCACACUGGAACUGAGACACGGUCCAGACUCCUAGGGGAGGCAGCAGUAGGGAAUCUUCCGCAAUGGGCGAAAGCCUGACGGAGCAACGCCGCGUGAGUGAUGAAGGUCUUCGGACCGUAAAACUCUGUUAUUAGGGAAGAACAAAUGUGUAAGUAACUAUGCACGUCUUGACGGUACCUAAUCAGAAAGCCACGGCUAACUACGUG